CUUUCUGCGUCAAAAUUAAGCUGGAGUGGGUCAUUUCAGUACUGGCCCGUGAUAAUGCAGUAGAAGAACUGUUGUGGAAGGAGUGCACCGUUGUUGUGUCUAAGCUCUUGGCACCUGAUAUAUUUAAGAAAUUCUCAAUGCAAGAAGUAAGAAGUAUUAUUGAUGAAAGAUCAGUCAUGAAUACUUUCUCAAGUCAAGAAGUAAUAGAAACUUCUCAUCAUUCCAUCAACUUCCUGUUAAGUGGUUGCUUGAGAG
rnacentral:misc_RNA from 1 species